AGCAUAUCAAUAAGCGGAGGAAAAGAAACCAACCGGGAUUGCCUCAGUAACGGCGAGUGAAGCGGCAAGAGCUCAAAUUUGAAAGCUGGCUCCUUCGGAGUCCGCAUUGUAAUUUGCAGAGGAUGCUUUGGGUGCGGCCCCCGUCUAAGUGCCCUGGAACGGGCCGUCAGAGAGGGUGAGAAUCCCGUCUUGGGCGGGGUGUCCGUGCCCGUGUAAAGCUCCUUCGACGAGUCGAGUUGUUUGGGAAUGCAGCUCUAAAUGGGUGGUAAAUUUCAUCUAAAGCUAAAUACUGGCCGGAGACCGAUAGCGCACAAGUAGAGUGAUCGAAAGAUGAAAAGCACUUUGAAAAGAGAGUUAAACAGCACGUGAAAUUGUUGAAAGGGAAGCGCUUGCGACCAGACUCGCCCGCGGGGUUCAGCCGGCAUUCGUGCCGGUGUACUUCCCCGUGGGCGGGCCAGCGUCGGUUUGGGCGGCCGGUCAAAGGCCCCUGGAAUGUAGUGCCCUCCGGGGCACCUUAUAGCCAGGGGUGCAAUGCGGCCAGCCUGGACCGAGGAACGCGCUUCGGCACGGACGCUGGCAUAAUGGUCGUAAACGACCCGUCUUGAAACACGGACCAAGGAGUCUAACAUCUACGCGAGUGUUCGGGUGUCAAACCCGUGCGCGCAGUGAAAGCGAACGGAGGUGGGAGCCCCCUUGCGGGGCGCACCAUCGACCGAUCCUGAUGUCUUCGGAUGGAUUUGAGUAAGAGCGUAGCUGUGGGGACCCGAAAGAUGGUGAACUAUGCCUGAAUAGGGCGAAGCCAGAGGAAACUCUGGUGGAGGCUCGCAGCGGUUCUGACGUGCAAAUCGAUCGUCAAAUUUGGGUAUAGGGGCGAAAGACUAAUCGAACCAUCUAGUAGCUGGUUCUGCGA
rnacentral:rRNA from 1 species